rnacentral:misc_RNA from 1 species
UGAGUGAGGUAAGGCUGUUGA